AUGUUAACUUCAAUAAUUAUUUCAUAAAGUUUCGAAUUUGCUAUUGUUUCCAUCUGUCAUGACAACAGUUCUGUACUCAUAUCGUACUUCUAUCCUUAUUUCUUGGAAAUAUAAAGAGCCGGAACUCUUGAAGAGCUAUUUGUACAAUUCUACGGAGCCGAACAAUUUCCCAUAUCAGCAGAAAAAUUCACAAAUCACGAUAGAAACGUACAGAAACUACUGCCAAAAAAUGGCGGCUCUAAAUGGAGGCCCUCUAAGAGCCAUAGCUAUGCUGUUGCUUCAUGUAUAAACGUGCAUUUGAAAACAUGUGGCGCUGCAAAAGCAAACGAUGCAGCAUCUAAUAUGCGUUCGUGUACAAAGGGUGUCUAAUGUGUGUCUAUGACAAUACGCUCCGUGUACAAUACAGUACUCAUCGAUAACCCUCGAACUUCUCGAAAUUCC
rnacentral:lncRNA from 1 species